CAGUCGCCGCGGGAAUACGUAGGUCCCGAGCGUUGUCCGGACUUAUUGGGCGUAAAGCGAGCGCAGGCGGUUAGAUAAGUCUGAUGUGAAAGCCCCCGGCUCAACCGGGGAGGGUCAUUGGAAACUGGUUGACUUGAGUGCAGAAGAGGAGAGUGGAAUUCCAUGUGUAGCGGUGAAAUGCGUAGAUAUAUGGAGGAACACCAGUGGCGAAGGCGACUCUCUGGUCUGUAACUGACGCUGAGGCUCGAAAGCGUGGGUAGCAAACAGGAUUAGAUACCCGCGUAGUCCCUGUCUCUUAUAC
rnacentral:rRNA from 1 species